UGACGCCGACGCCGGCGGCACAGUGGGAGGGAGCGGUAAGGGGAGGAGGUGCGCGGGCUCCGAGUGGCGGCUGCAGUGAGCGGGGCUGCGGCCUGCAGGGCCGGCGCCAUGUUUCUCGCUGCUCCUGUUCGCGCUGCCGGUGCCGCGGCCGCGCACUCGGUGAGACAGAUCCGCUACUUGCAUAAAACAGCUGUGCGCAGUGGAGGUGGAGGAGCCUUGUUUCUGCACAGAGAUACUCCUGAAAAUAACCCAGAUACACCAUUUGAUUUCACACCUGAAAACUAUAAGAGAAUAGAAGCAAUAGUAAACCACUACCCAGAGGGACAUAGAUCAGCUGCUGUGAUGCCGGUACUAGAUCUGGCCCAGAGACAGAAUGGAUGGUUGCCCAUAUCAGCGAUGAACAAGGUUGCUGAAGUUUUACAGAUGCCUCCCAUGAGAGUAUAUGAAGUAGCAACUUUCUAUACAAUGUAUAAUCGGAAGCCUGUGGGAAAAUACCAUAUUCAGAUCUGCACAACUACACCGUGUAUGCUGAGAGAUUCUGAUGGUAUACUAGAGGCUAUUCAGAAGAAGCUUGGUAUACAAGUUGGGGAAACAACACCUGAUAAACUUUUCACACUGGUAGAAGUUGAAUGUUUAGGUGCUUGCGUAAAUGCACCGAUGGUACAAAUAAAUGAUAAUUAUUAUGAAGAUCUGACACCAAAAGAUAUUGAAGACAUAAUCGAUGAACUAAAGGCUGGCAGAGUUCCCAAACCUGGCCCAAGUUCUGGUGUCCACAGUUCAAGAAGGAUGCAGAUAAAUUGGAGAGAGUUCAGAGAAGAGCCAUGAGAAUGACUAAAGGGUUAGAAAACAUCCCUUAUAGUGAUGGACUCAAAACAAAGUAUGUUAAGAGAAAUGGACGCUUUUCUUGUGAGCCAGUUGGUGGUCUUACUUCUCUGACUGAACCCCCCAGAGGACCUGGAUUUGGAGUUCGAGCAGACCUCUAAGCAUUUCUGUAAUAAAUUAUAAAAACAUAAGUUGUCUGAAAAUAAAACACCUUUAACUUCA